GUGGGGAAUUUUGGACAAUGGGCGCAAGCCUGAUCCAGCAAUGCCGCGUGCAGGAAGAAGGCCUUCGGGUUGUAAACUGCUUUUGUACGGAACGAAACGGCUCUGGUUAAUACCCGGGGCUAAUGACGGUACCGUAAGAAUAAGCACCGGCUAACUACGUGCCAGCAGCCGCGGUAAUACGUAGGGUGCAAGCGUUAAUCGGAAUUACUGGGCGUAAAGCGUGCGCAGGCGGUUUUGUAAGACAGGCGUAAAAUCCCCGGGCUCGACCUGGGAAUGGCGCUUGUGACUGCAAAGCUGGAGUGCGGCAGAGGGGGAUGGAAUUCCGCGUGUAGCAGUGAAAUGCGUAGAUAUGCGGAGGAACACCGAUGGCGAAGGCAAUCCCCUGGGCCUGCACUGACGCUCAUGCACGAAAGCGUGGGGAGCAAACAGGAUUAGAAACCCUUGUAGUCC
rnacentral:rRNA from 1 species